rnacentral:rRNA from 1 species
UACGAAGGAUCCAAGCGUUAUCCGGAUUCCCUGGGUUUAAAGGGCUCGUAGGUGGCCAACUAAGUCAAACGUGAAAUCCCUCGGCUUAACCGGGGAACUGCGUCUGAUACUGGAUGGCUUGAGUUUGGGAGAGGGAUGCGGAAUUCCAGGUGUAGCGGUGAAAUGCGUAGAUAUCUGGAGGAACACCGGUGGCGAAGGCGGCAUCCUGGACCAACACUGACACUGAGGAGCGAAAGCCAGGGGAGCAAAGCGGG